CCAUCGGUGGUUCAGUGGUAUGAUGCUCGCCUGCCAAUGUGCCAAUGCCACGCGGGCGGGGGGGUUCGAUUCCCGGCCGAUGCA